UCGGUAAGGGAGAUGAAUUCCUCUCCAAAAUGAUACUACAUAUCAAUAUGGAAUAUAUUGAGAUUUUCCUUGGAUUGCGUGAAUCGCCCUAUACUUUUUCUUUAUCAAAAAUGGGAAACUCAGUGAUAACUGUUGCAUUAGUGUUGUCCCCAAACUGUACACACCUCUCGCCAUUUGGGACCUCAGCCUCUCUAACCUGCCCCCUUGGCCUAGUGAACUGAAUAUAUCCCGGUACCACGGAGCAUAUAUAUAUGCGUCAACGAUCGGUGAUCGGUAUCUGGCAAAGUUGUGGAUGGCGGCAAACUGAUAAGUUUGCAUCCCGGUUCCCGCAGUUUCGCUAUAAAUAGUGCUAAAUGCAAGCGGCAAUGUCACACGGAUCAUCGCUAAGAAGAAGAGGGGCUUUGCAUGAGGGCCAGAGCCUGCCUCCUCUGGUAGCCAAGGAUGACUUGCCUAUAUGCUCUUUCAGAAGCCCCUGUUACAGUACAUGGCCGGUUUCAGAUGAGUUUCAUGAUAGGCGGUCACCUUGGCUAGCCUGAGUGGCUCUUGUCUGUCAUGGAAGGCCUCUCCUUCUUAUUCCCUGCUGUUUGAUCUCAGGUAAGACCAUGGCUGCUAUUGGGCUUAUGAAUAAGUUUGAUACAGUUGAAUACCUUGAAAGAUUCAACCGAGGGUUUGUUAAAGAAUUCCCAAAUGGGAGUGACGUGGAGUAUGCGAUUCAUCCACGCUUUAUUGUUAUUAUGAAAGAGAAAAACUUUGCAGGAGGUGAUCCCGAUGAGGAUCCUUAUAAUCAUUUACAUUCCUUUACCGAGUUGUGUUGGACAAUUAAAUUGAGGAACUAUCCUGAUGAUGAAUUAAAACUUAAACUGUUUAGUCAAACUCUAACCAACACUGUAUUAUCUUGGUACAAAACUUGCCCUACAGAAAAGAUUGAUACUUGGGAGAAUCUUAUGAUGAAAUUUAUAUUUUGAUUCUACCCAAAAGUGAAGUCCGCUGAAGCAAGAAGAUUUAUAACCAAUUUCAAGAAUCGCCGCGGCGAAAGUUUAAUGAGAGCCUACCUCAGGUUUAAAGGUACGGUUCAAAGCUGUUCCCAUCAUGAUUUACCGCUUUGGUAUGUUUUACAUUUCUUUUAUGGAGAACUUGAACGAGAUAAUAAAAGCGAAUUAGAUUUGUCAUUCGGUGGAUCUUUUAUGGAACUCACCCCCGAGCAAGCAUGGGUACGCCUAGACAAAGUUCAUAGAAAUAGAGAAUCAUUGGGCUUUGAUCUUGGAAGUGAGGGAGAAAUAGAAAUUGAAUAUGAUUUUUUAAAUUCUUAUAAAAACACCGGGAAAUUAAAAUAAACUGCUAAUGAGCUUAAUCUUGAUGAUGUUAUGGUAUUAGAUGUUCUUCAAGUUUUUAUAGAAUUCAUUGAAGCACCUAAGAAGGAAUGGCUUUAUUACGCCCGCCACCUCAAAUCACUGAAGUAGCACAAGUUUAAGUUGAAGUACCCAAAGUGGUACCCAUUGAAAGGACGUCUUACAAUGAACCGCUUCAUUUCCCAAUGACAGCAGCAAGGCACAUUAGAGCUCAACUCCUUGUAGAACAAAAAUAAGAAGAGGUGAAAGAGGUAAGAGCACUAGAGGUAAAAUUUAGUAACAAGGAACCUACUUAUGAAGUUGCAAAUGAGGAUGGUGAAGUAACUAAGGAAGGUAUUAUAGCUAUGUAUGCACACUGCAACGUAGUUGACAUCGAUUCCGAAACCUCACAAUUCGUAGAAGGUAUGGUUAAUGCAAAAAAAAUUGUGAGCAAGCAUGUUUUACCUUGCACUUUUGGUGGAUCCUCUUAUUAUGGCCUCUGUGAAAUUGGAACAACCGUUAAUGUUAUUCCCUAUAGAUUUAAUUUUGGUAAUCAAUGAUGAACUUGAAUAUUCACAGUUAGAAGACGCAAAUAUGAUAAUUAUGAUAGCUGCUAAGUCUCUCUGAGUUCCUAUGGGAGUAAUAAAAAUGUACGGCCAGUCGAUAUACUUACAACAGCUUUUUCCUUGUUUUAUUCGUUAAGAUAAAAAAAACAGUUUUUUGUCGCCUUUCUUCUGUCGGUAAUCGGUACGGGUCGGACGGUACGGUGAUAACCCACCCGUACCGAAUUCUCGAACCGAGUAUAUCUGGCCCGUUUUUUGGUAGGACGUCAGCUACAGGCGAACGGUACGGUCUGAGACCGUACCAAGGACCGCCGUGCUGCCCAGAAUUUAUUUUUUAAGUUUAUAUCUUUCCAUAUUGUUAGGAUUUUUUUAUGUGCGACCAUAACUUCAGUCUGACGAGUUUUUUUCUCUUUAUAACCCCUCAUAACACCUAGAUGAGUCUUUUCUUCUAUCCUAACAGAUGUCAUCCAAGCUUGCCACAAACCCUACCAACGCAACCAUGUCUCAUCCUUGGAGCAUCAUGCCUUCAACCUAUGGGAAGCAAGGCACCCCGGAUGCCUGGAGGAAGGACGCCACAAGGGAGAAGGAGGCAGAACAAUGGAGGGACGAAAGUGACCCAGAAGAUGGUUUCAUGCUAAGAGAGAAGAUUAUUGGAGGUCGGAAAACUUUUGGUUUGGUUGUAGGUAAGGAUGAUGAUUAUGAUGAAGUCGACAUGAGCAUCGAAGAAGAUGAUGGGCUAUGCCUCAUCGACAAGUUAAAGAUGGAAGACAAGGACAAACAGGAAUCCCUAGAGAAGCUGGACAGCCGCAUCAAGAGAAUUGAAGAGAAUGCCCCUGGGUCUGCAGAGCAUAUUCGGCUACUGCGAUGCUACCUGGAUCAAAUGGAUGAAAACAUCAUCAAAGGGCUGGAGGCUAACCUUUAUAUUUGUCUUCGUCCUCUUGAUACACAGAAAAACACACCUGAAGUGAACAAGAACUACAUUGUUGUUCUGGAGAAAUUGGCUAAGGAGCGUUCAGCCCGCAUCAUCUACCUCGAAGCAUUCACCAUCGCAUUGCAGACCAAGAUCCGUAAUCUUGAAGGAGAAGACCCUUCAAAAUAGAAGGACGAGUUACGGUAUCAAAUAAUCACAGGGAUUAUUUGAUCCCACCUAGCUUGAUUCCAAGCUUGGGGAGACCUAUAACACCUUGUAACCUAUCUCCUAUAGUUUACAUAUUUACUUUCUAGCGUGCAUUUAGUUCGAAACUCAAUAAGGAUUGCAUUAAUGCUUGUUUAAUUUCCCUUGGAGAGUGAAUGAUUUUUAUCCAAUGAA